rnacentral:piRNA from 1 species
UUCAUUCUUAAGCUGUACAAUGGGAG